GGUCCUGCGUGACAGACAUGUGUGAAUGUCCAGUCCAUAAAAACUGUUACUGCGAAUCAUUCCUGGCAUAUACCCGGGCCUGCCAGAGAGAGGGCAUCAGUGUUCACUGGGAGCCACAGCAAAACUGUGCAGCCACCCAGUGUAAGCAUGGGGCCGUGUAUGAUACCUGUGGCCCAGGAUGUGCCAAGACCUGUGACAACUGGAAUGAGAUCGGCCCCUGCAAUAAGCCAUGCGUUGCUGGGUGUCACUGCCCAGCAAAUUUGGUCCUUCACAAAGGAAGGUGCAUCAAGCCAGUCCUCUGUCCUCAGCGGUGACCUUUGUUCUACUCCUUCAGACUUUGAACCUAGUGUCCUUGACACUGAAGUGGAAGAGCCAAUGAAAGACUGCAGUAUUUGUGUGCUGACUCCGCAAACACACACACAGAGUAUAUAUGUGUACAUAUAUAGAUAUAUAGAUAUAUUCAGAAGCAUUUCAUCAUUUAUAUAAACUAUAGGUGGAUUAUUAUAUGUAUAUUUUUUGCUAUAAGACAUGUAUUGUUUCUAGGAUCCUAAUCUGUAAGCCAUUGAAGACAUUGUAUAAAUAAAUCAAGUGUUUUUAAUUUAAUAAGGCAGCAUGCAGACAUAUUGGAGGCUUAACCAUCACACACAUUUGUCAUUUUUAAGGAAACUUGUCUAAGAGAUCAAAAUUGCCUGCCUGAAUUAAUUUUUUCUUUGGAUCAGGAUUUGCUGUUGAAUGGGGAGUGUGUUUUUUCUGGAGAAGGGCAAAUUUAUUUUGGGGUAUUUCUGCUUCCAGAGAAAGGAAAGUAUGCCUGAGAGAGAUGGCUAGUGAUUGGUGACAGGCUCUAAUGGUGCAUGUAAGCAAGGGAUAGGCUGUUAGACUUUAUUGGGUAAUGGUCUGAUAUUAUUUCCAAAACUGAUUGGCUGGUUACCAAGAAAUGUAUAUCGUCACUAAAGCAUAACCGAAGAAGCAAAUGAUUUCUUGCCCUCUUACCAUAUUCCCCCAGUCUCCUAAUUAUAUACGUGUGUAUGAUGGAUGUGGCCACCUCUGUGUCCCACACUGAGAUGAUGGAGUGUCUGGAUGUCUUGUUAGUUUAACUGAGCAUGAGCAGAUAUUUGAAGAAACUGUUGCACAACAUAUGAGAAAAUAUCCGUUUCUCUGAAUCUCACAGCAGUUUAGGAUGAACAAAUCCAAUUGAGUCAAAGAAAGCUAUCUAUAUUUUGUACUAUUCCAUGUAUAAAGUGAAAGCCUUUAUUUGUAGAAGACUCCUAGUGCAACACUAUUUGCAACAGGGAAUCUGUCCUAAUUAUUAGACAGAAAGAAAGGCUUUACCGAUCAGUUGAUUUAACAUCAAUCCAAACAAAGAAUGGUCUACAUGCUUGCUCUCAUUUCCUGAUAGGUUACUACUAGUCACCAUGUGAUUUUCCUGACUUUUGUUUUCAGCUGAAUAAGUGAGAAUGUAACAAAAUAAAACCCACUGAUGUCUAAAAAUAAAAUGUUCUGUGUUGUAGUAAAUAAAGGGCUUAAGUUUUACAACAA